rnacentral:rRNA from 1 species
AACGAACGCUGGCGGCAUGCCUAACACAUGCAAGUCGAACGUGACCUUCGGGUCUAGUGGCGCACGGGUGCGUAACGCGUGGGAACCUGCCCUUAGGUUCGGAAUAACUCCCCGAAAGGGGUGCUAAUACCGGAUAAUGUCUUCGGACCAAAGAUUUAUCGCCUUUGGAUGGGCCCGCGUUGGAUUAGCUAGUUGGUAGGGUAAAAGCCUACCAAGGCGACGAUCCAUAGCUGGUCUGAGAGGAUGAUCAGCCACACUGGGACUGAGACACGGCCCAGACUCCUACGGGAGGCAGCAGUGGGGAAUAUUGGACAAUGGGCGAAAGCCUGAUCCAGCAAUGCCGCGUGAGUGAUGAAGGCCGUAGGGUUGUAAAGCUCUUUUACCCGGGAUGAUAAUGACAGUACCGGGAGAAUAAGCUCCGGCUAACUCCGUG